rnacentral:rRNA from 1 species
UGGGGAAUAUUGCACAAUGGGCGCAAGCCUGAUGCAGCCAUGCCGCGUGUAUGAAGAAGGCCUUCGGGUUGUAAAGUACUUUCAGCGGGGAGGAAGGGAGUAAAGUUAAUACCUUUGCUCAUUGACGUUACCCGUAGAAGAAGCACCGGCUAACUCCGUGCCAGCAGCCGCGGUAAUACGGAGGGUGCAAGCGUUAAUCGGAAUUACUGGGCGUAAAGCGCACGCAGGCGGUUUGUUAAGUCAGAUGUGAAAUCCCCGGGCUCAACCUGGGAACUGCAUCUGAUACUGGCAAGCUUGAGUCUCGUAGAGGGGGGUAGAAUUCCAGGUGUAGCGGUGAAAUGCGUAGAGAUCUGGAGGAAUACCGGUGGCGAAGGCGGCCCCCUGGACGAAGACUGACGCUCAGGUGCGAAAGCGUGGGGAGCAAACA